GUGCCAGCAGCCGCGGUAAUACGUAGGGUGCGAGCGUUGUCCGGAAUUACUGGGCGUAAAGAGUUCGUAGGCGGUUUGUCGCGUCGUUUGUGAAAACCCGGGGCUCAACUUCGGGCUUGCAGGCGAUACGGGCAGACUUGAGUGUUUCAGGGGAGACUGGAAUUCCUGGUGUAGCGGUGAAAUGCGCAGAUAUCAGGAGGAACACCGGUGGCGAAGGCGGGUCUCUGGGAAACAACUGACGCUGAGGAACGAAAGCGUGGGUAGCAAACAGGAUUAGAUACCCUGGUAGUCCACGCCGUAAACGGUGGGCGCUAGGUGUGGGUUCCUUCCACGGGAUCUGUGCCGUAGCUAACGCAUUAAGCGCCCCGCCUGGGGAGUACGGCCGCAAGGCUAAAACUCAAAGGAAUUGACGGGGGCCCGCACAAGCGGCGGAGCAUGUGGAUUAAUUCGAUGCAACGCGAAGAACCUUACCUGGGUUUGACAUACACCGGAAAACCGUAGAGAUACGGUCCCCCUUUGUGUCGGUGUACAGGUGGUGCAUGGCUGUCGUCAGCUUCGUGUCGUGAGAUGUUGGGUUUAAGUCCCGCAACGAGCGCAACCCUUUGUCUUAUGUUGCCAGCACGUAAUGGUGGGGACUCGUAAGAGACUGCCGGGUCAACUCGGAGGAAGGUGGGGACGACGUCAAGUCAUCAUGCCCCUUAUGUCAGGCUUCACACAUGCUACAUGUCAGUACAGAGGGCUGCGAGACGUGAGGUGAGCGAUCCCUUAAAGCUGUCUCAGUCCGAUCGGGUCUGCAUCGACUCGUGAGUCGAGUCGCUAGUAUCGCAGAUCAGCACGUGCGGUGAAUACGUUCAGCCUUGGAUCUCACCGCCGUCAGGCGAAUUCUGUUAAACUUGCAGGACAUAGGUCC
rnacentral:rRNA from 1 species